rnacentral:rRNA from 1 species
AACUUUAAGAGCCGCGGUAUAUUGACCGUGCAAAGGUAGCAUAAUCAUUAGUUUCUUAAUUGGAAACUCGUAUGAACGGUUAAACAAAAGAAUUACUGUCUCUUUAUCUAAUAUUGAAUUUAACUUUUAAGUGAAAAGGCUUAAAUAUUUUAAGGGGACGAUAAGACCCUAUAAAGCUUUAUAAUUAAAUAAUAUUUUUUUGAAAUAACUAUAUAAAAAUAAAAUAUAAUAAAUCUUAUUUUGUUGGGGCGACAUAGAUAUAAAUAUAAAUAACUGUUAGAAUAAUAUACAUAAAUAUAUGAAUAAAGUAAAUGAUCCUAUUUAAAGAUUAAAAGACUAAGUUACUUUAGGGAUAACAGCGUUAUUUCUUUUGAGAGUUCUUAUUGAAAAAGAAGUUUGCGACCUCGAUGUUGAAUUAAAGGAUCUUUAUAGUGUAGUCGUUAUAAAAAGAAGGUCUGUUCGACCUUUAAAACUUUA